rnacentral:rRNA from 1 species
UACGUAGGGGGCAAGCGUUGUCCGGAAUCAUUGGGCGUAAAGAGCGCGUAGGCGGUCCGGUAAGUCCGCUCUGAAAGUCCGGGGCUCAACCCCGGGAGGCGGGCGGAUACUGUCGGGCUAGAGUCCGGAAGAGGCGAGUGGAAUUCCUGGUGUAGCGGUGAAAUGCGCAGAUAUCAGGAGGAACACCGAUGGCGAAGGCAGGUCUCUGGGCCACUACUGACGCUGAGAAGCGAAAGCAUGGGGAGCGAACAGG